AACGCACAUUGCACUAUUUAUAGUAUAUUUGAUUCAGUGUUAUUAAACAAAUUCAUCAUAAAAAUGUAAUUAAACUCAAUGUUUUCUUAUUAAAAUGAAUCAAUUCAAACAAUAUUUGGUCACUUCAAGUGAUAGUAUUGAAUGAAUCUUUUAAAACUAACCUGAGUCAAGUAAGAUUACCUGCUGAACUUAA
rnacentral:misc_RNA from 1 species